GUACUAAAUAGUAAUUUUGCAAAAGAAAAAAAAAUGCAUAUACGUUAUGCGGCGUCCUACUUUAAGAAACAAGUUAUGAAACUUUGCUCCUUCAGAGAACACAAGUUCACAAACUAAUAUGUAUAGACAAAAUGGCAUGGGCAUCUAGAUUCUAGAAACAACCCACAGCGUUAAACAAAUUCCGCCAAAGCUAAACAAACUGAUUAAAUCUUGAACUACCUACACGACAAGCACUGCCGAACUACUUACAAAGCCUUGGCUUCAAGGCAAGCCUAACAAGUUUGAUACCAUCAACAGAUGAACGCAAAUAAAUAAUCCAGAAAGUUUGAAGCACACUGGUAUUAUAAGACCGCUUGGCCCAGUAACACGUCGAACCCAUACUCCACUAGUCCAGACUUCAGAUACAUGCACCCUUAGCCUAUCUAUUAUCCAAGUAUGGGCCCUAUAGAGACACAUCAAAGGGUUGUUUUAAGUGCCCACAUGGGUCAAGGUCAAAGUAGGUAUCCCACUCUUACGGGCCGAAACGGGACAACCGAGAGAACGUAUGAAAAACAUUAUAAACAAAAACAAGCCCCGAUCAACGAAAACAACCAAAGAUCAAAAUCUGCACACAGGUCAAUCAAACAUGAAAUUAAGAAACUGAGACGAAAAAAAAAAAA
rnacentral:misc_RNA from 1 species